CACGUAGGGGGCGAGCGUUGUCCGGAAUUAUUGGGCGUAAAGCGCGCGCAGGCGGCCUGGAAAGUCUAUGGGUGAAAUGCCGGGGCUCAACCCCGUGCAUGCCCAGGAUACUGCCAGGCUGGAGACACGUAGAGGCAAGCGGAAUUCCGGGUGUAGCGGUGGAAUGCGUAGAGAUCCGGAAGAACACCGGAGGCGAAGGCGGCUUGCUGGGCGUGAUCGUGACGCUGAGGCGCGAAAGCGUGGGGAGCAAACAGG
rnacentral:rRNA from 1 species